rnacentral:rRNA from 1 species
AUUGAACGCUGGCGGCAGGCCUAACACAUGCAAGUCGAGCGGAUGAAGGGUGCUUGCUCCUGGAUACAGCGGGGGACGGGUGUGUAAUGCCUACAAAUCUCCCUGGUAGUUGGGGAUAACGUGCGAAAACGGGCGCUAUUACCGCAUACGUCCUGAGGGAGAAAGUUUGGUAUCUUCGGAUCUCACGCUUUCAGAUGAGCCUAGGUAGGAUUAGCUAGUUGGUGGGGUAAAGGCCUACCAAGCCGACGAUCCGUAACUGGUCUGAGAGGAUGAUCAGUCACACUGGAACUGAGACACGGUCCAGACUCCUACGGGAGGCAGCAGUGGGGAAUAUUGGACAAUGGGCGGAAGCCUGAUCCAGCCAAGCCGCGUGGGUGAAGAAGGGCUUCCGAUUUGAAAGCAAAUUAGGUUGGGAAGAAGAGCAGUAAGUUAAUACCGUGAUGUUUUGACGUUACCAACAGAAUAAGCACCGGCUAACUUCGUG